rnacentral:lncRNA from 1 species
UGUCAAAGCACUUCAAUUAAAACACAGAAACUAUAGAAAAUCAUCUGGUAAACAUGCUGAUGAUGUCCUAAACCUGAUCACUUGUCUCAAAAUUUAGGAAAGUUAAUGGCUGAAGAUUCAGCAGCCAUUCUGAACUGGAAAUUACAUGUUAAGGCUGUUAUAGAAGAAAUAAAGAAAUUAAAUCUCUAUGUCCCCAAGGUAUCUCUAUACCGGCCUGGAAUGCCUAUCUCCAAACCUCCUUUACAUGAGACAGAAACAGCUUCUAUCACCUUAAAAUCUGUUACUUUAGGUUUUUUUCAUUAUGAGCAGCUAAAAUGAAUCUUACUUGAUACAGUGUGAGUGUUCAUGGAUUAGGGCAUUGUUUGAUAAGAGGAGUAAGAAAAGAAUAUAAAUUGUAUUGGCCCUGAUAUGCCACAAACAAUGAGGGCUGAAGCCAAAUUAAUCAAAGAAUAAACUCAAAUACAAAGAACAAC